rnacentral:rRNA from 1 species
GUCGAGCGAACGGACGAGAAGCUUGCUUCUCUGAAUGUUAGCGGCGGACGGGUGAGUAACACGUGGAUAACCUACCUAUAAGACUGGGAUAACUUCGGGAAACCGGAGCUAAUACCGGAUAAUAUUUUGAACCGCAUGGUUCAAAAGUGAAAGACGGUCUUGCUGUCACUUAUAGAUGGAUCCGCGCUGCAUUAGCUAGUUGGUAAGGUAACGGCUUACCAAGGCAACGAUGCAUAGCCGACCUGAGAGGGUGAUCGGCCACACUGGAACUGAGACACGGUCCAGACUCCUACGGGAGGCAGCAGUAGGGAAUCUUCCGCAAUGGGCGAAAGCCUGACGGAGCAACGCCGCGUGAGUGAUGAAGGUCUUCGGAUCGUAAAACUCUGUUAUUAGGGAAGAACAUAUGUGUAAGUAACUGUGCACAUCUUGACGGUACCUAAUCAGAAAGCCACGGCUAACUACGUGCCAGCAGCCGCGGUAAUACGUAGGUGGCAAGCGUUAUCCGGAAUUAUUGGGCGUAAAGCGCGCGUAGGCGGUUUUUUAAGUCUGAUGUGAAAGCCCACGGCUCAACCGUGGAGGGUCAUUGGAAACUGGAAAACUUGAGUGCAGAAGAGGAAAGUGGAAUUCCAUGUGUAGCGGUGAAAUGCGCAGAGAUAUGGAGGAACACCAGUGGCGAAGGCGACUUUCUGGUCUGUAACUGACGCUGAUGUGCGAAAGCGUGGGGAUCAAACAGGA